UUUAGCGGAUAUGUUCCUUCUUCUACUUUGUGGGUUUCAUU
rnacentral:sRNA from 1 species